rnacentral:rRNA from 1 species
CCUACGGGAGGCAGCAGUGGGGAAUAUUGGACAAUGGGGGAAACCCUGAAGCAGCGAAGCAGCGUGAGGGAUGAAGUAAUUAGGGGUUUAAAGCUCCAUCAGCAGGGGAGAAAAUGACGGUACCUGAGUAAGAAGCCCCGGCUAACUCCGUGCCAGCAGCCGCGGUACUACGGAGGCUGCGAGCGUUAAUCGGAGUUACUGGGCGUAAAGGGGGCGUAGGCGGGUUGUCAAGUCAGGUGUGAAAUCCCCGCGCUCAACGUGGGAACUGCAUUUGAAACUGGCAAACUGGAGUGUGUUAGAGGAUAGUGGAAUUCCAGGUGUAGGGGUGAAAUCCGUAGAUAUCUGGAGGAACAUCAGUUGCGAAGGCGGCUAUCUGGCCCAUCACUGACGCUGAGGAGCGAAAGCGUGGGUAGCAAACAGGAUUAGAUACCCUGGUAGUC